AUUGAACGCUGGCGGCAGGCCUAACACAUGCAAGUCGAACGGAGGAGGGGAGCUUGCUCCUUGGUUCAGCGGCGGACGGGUGAGUAAUGCGUAAGAAUCUGCCUGGUAAUGGUGGAUUACGUCCGGAAAAGGGCGCUAAUACCUCAUACGGCCUGAGGGCGAAAGGGGGGGAUCUUCGGACCUCACGCUAUCAGAUGAGCCUAGGCCGGAUUAGCUUGUUGGUGGGGUAAAGGCCUACCAAGGCGACGAACCGUAAAUGGUCUGAGAGGAUGAUCAGUCACAUGGGAACGGAGACACGGUCCAGACUCCUAAGGGAGGGCGCAGUCGGGAAUGUGGGACAAAGGGCGGAAGCCUGAUCCAGCGAGGCAGCGUGUGUGAAGAAGGCCUUCGGAUUGUAAAGCACGCUAUGUGGUGAGGAAGGGCAGUAAGUUAAUACCUAGCUGUUGUGACGGUACCAACAGAAUAAGCACCGGCUAACUACGUG
rnacentral:rRNA from 1 species